AACGAACGCUGGCGGCAUGCCUAACACAUGCAAGUCGAACGAGACCUUCGUGACAAGUUGCUCACGGGGGCGUAACGCGUGGGAACCGGCCCUUAGGUUCGGAAUAACUCCCCGACGGGGGGGCUAACGCCGGGAAAUGUACGCGGACCCAAGAUUUACCGCCGUGGGAUGGGCACGCGUUGGUUUAGCUAGGUGGGAGGGUAAGAGCCUAUGAAGGCGACGCUCCAUAGCUGGUCUGAGAGAAUGAUCAGCGACACUGGGGCGGAGACACGGUCCAGUAUCCUACGCAAGGCAGCAGUGGGGAAUAUUGGACAACGGGGGAAGGCCUGAUCCAGCAAUGCCUCGUGAGUCAUGAAGGUCUUAGAGUUGUAAAGCUCUUUUACCCGCGAUGAUAAUGACAGUACCGGGAGAAUAAGCACCGGCUAACUCCGUG
rnacentral:rRNA from 1 species